GACGAACGCUGGCGGCGUGCUUAACACAUGCAAGUCGAACGAUGAACCCGGAGCUUGCUCCGGUGGAUUAGUGGCGAACGGGUGAGUAACACGUGAGUAACCUGCCCUUGACUCUGGGAUAACUGCGGGAAACUGUAGCUAAUACCGGAUACGACCCUCGGCGGCAUCGCCAGGGGGUGGAAAGAAUUUCGGUCAAGGAUGGACUCGCGGCCUAUCAGCUAGUUGGGGAGGUAACGGCUCACCAAGGCGACGACGGGUAGCCGGCCUGGGGGGGUGACCGGCCACACUGGGACUGAGAUACGGCCCAGACUCCUACGGGAGGCAGCAGUGGGGAAUAUUGCACAAUGGGCGCAAGCCUGAUGCAGCGACGCCGCGUGAGGUAUGACGGCCUUCGGGUUGUAAACCUCUUUCAGCACCGACGAAGAGAAAGUGACGGUACCUGCAGAAAAAGCACCGGCUAACUACGUGCCAGCCGCCGCCGUAA
rnacentral:rRNA from 1 species